GUUAUAUGGUCAAGCGACUAAGCGUAUACGGUGGAUGCCUUGGCAGUCAGAGGCGAUGAAGGACGUGGCAGCCUGCGAAAAGUGUCGGGGAGCUGGCAACAAGCUUUGAUCCGGCAAUGUCCGAAUGGGGAAACCCACCGCUUAGGCGGUAUCCGUACGUGAAUACAUAGCGUGCGGAAGCGAACCCGGGGAACUGAAAUAUCUAAGUACCCGGAGGAAAAGAAAUCAACCGAGAUUCCGUCAGUAGCGACGAGCGAACGCGGACUAGCCCAAAAGUGUCGCACAUUCUAGUCGAACCGCUUGGAAACGCGGGCCGUAGACGGUGAUAGCCCGGUAGACGAAAGGGUGCGUGGCAUGAAAUUGAGUAAGGCGGGGCACGAGAAACCCUGUCUGAACAUGGGGGGACCAUCCUCCAAGGCUAAAUACUCCUGACUGACCGAUAGCGAACUAGUACCGUGAGGGAAAGGCGAAAAGAACCCCGGAGAGGGGAGUGAAAUAGACCCUGAAACCGUAUACGUACAAGCAGUGGAAGCCCGCAAGGGUGACUGCGUACCUUUUGUAUAAUGGGUCAGCGACUUACUGUCAGUGGCAAGCUUAACCGUAUAGGGGAGGCGAAGGGAAACCGAGUCUGAAUAGGGCGAAUAGUCUCUGGCAGUAGACCCGAAACCGAGUGAUCUAUCCUUGACCAGGUUGAAGGUGCGGUAACACGCACUGGAGGACCGAACCCACAUCUGUUGCAAUAGAUGGGGAUGAGUUGAGGAUCGGAGUGAAAGGCUAAACAAACUCGGAGAUAGCUGGUUCUCCUCGAAAGCUAUUUAGGUAGCGCCUCGUGCGAACACUGUUGGGGGUAGAGCACUGUUAUGGCUAGGGGGUCAUUGAGACUUACCAAACCAUGGCAAACUCCGAAUACCAACACGUGCUACACGGGAGACACACGGCGGGUGCUAACGUCCGUCGUGAAAAGGGAAACAACCCAGACCCGCAGCUAAGGUCCCAAAGUCAUAGCUAAGUGGAAAACGAUGUGGAAAGGCAUAGACAGCCAGGAGGUUGGCUUAGAAGCAGCCACCCUUUAAAGAAAGCGUAAUAGCUCACUGGUCGAGUCGGUCUGCGCGGAAGAUUUAACGGGGCUAAGCUAUGCACCGAAGCUCGGGGUGUACAGGUUUCGACCUGUACGCGGUAGAGGAGCGUUCCGUAGGCCUGUGAAGGUGAGUCGUAAGGCUUGCUGGAGGUAUCGGAAGUGCGAAUGCUGACAUGAGUAACGAUAAGGGGGGUGAAAAGCCCCCCCGCCGAAAGCCCAAGGUUUCCUCGCGCAACGUUCAUCGGCGCAGGGUGAGUCGGCCCCUAAGGCGAGGCAGAAAUGCGUAGUCGAUGGGAAGCAGGUUAAUAUUCCUGCACUUUUCUACAGUGCGAUGUGGGGACGGAGAAGGUUAGGUCUACCAGGCGUUGGUUGUCCUGGGGAAAGGCGGUAGGCGGUGAUCUUAGGCAAAUCCGGGAUCACAUACGCCGAGCACCGAGACGAGCCCUUAUCAGGGCGAAGUGACUGACACCACGCUUCCAGGAAAAGCCACUAAGCUUCAGCUGUAGAAAAACCGUACCGUAAACCGACACUGGUAGGCAGGGUGAGAAUCCCAAGGCGCUUGAGAGAACUCGGGUGAAGGAACUAGGCAAAAUGGCACCGUAACUUCGGGAGAAGGUGCGCCCCUUGGUGUGGUCACGUGCGUGACUGAGCAUCGAGGGGUCGCAGUAACCUGGCCGCUGCGACUGUUUAUCAAAAACACAGCACUCUGCAAACACGAAAGUGGACGUAUAGGGUGUGACGCCUGCCCGGUGCUGGAAGGUUAAUUGAUGGGGUCAGCCGCAAGGCGAAGCUCUUGAUCGAAGCCCCAGUAAACGGCGGCCGUAACUAUAACGGUCCUAAGGUAGCGAAAUUCCUUGUCGGGUAAGUUCCGACCUGCACGAAUGGCGUAACGACAGCGGCGCUGUCUCCACCCGAGACUCAGUGAAAUUGAAAUCGCUGUGAAGAUGCAGCGUUCCCGCGGCAAGACGGAAAGACCCCGUGAACCUUUACUAUAGCUUUACAUUGAACGUUGAGUUCUUCUGUGUAGGAUAGGUGGGAGGCUAUGAAACCGAGACGC
rnacentral:rRNA from 1 species